rnacentral:misc_RNA from 1 species
UUUGCUGCCACAAGAGGUUUGUGGUGUUGAAGCGCUGAAAGUGUUUUCACAUAACUUUCUGACACCGUAUCAACCUUCACUUCUUCGGGGUUCAGUGGAAGAGCUGGAAAUGAGAAUAGCCACACUGAAAGAACAGUUGAAAGAUGCUGAAGAAGAACUGGAAAAACUUAGAGCAGGUCAACAAGAAAGUAUAAUGUAGAAAGACUUGGCGGGCGGAGGGCAUUAUGUUGCCUUCACUUUUUCUUUAUCCUUUUUAGGAAACAGUGACAUCUGAAAAAGAAAAUGUUUUUCUUGAGAUAAUUAUUUUGUCUUUUUUGUAUAAUUUUUUCAUUCUUUUAGUUCGUUUGUACCUUCAAGAAGACAAUAAAUGAG